rnacentral:SRP_RNA from 1 species
GAAUUCAGGGCGCAGGUUCCGGGCCAAUUCGGGCUUAUGAAUUUGCCCCCUGACUCAAGGUGACGGCUACCGGGUAGUGCGUGUUGGGUCCUGCGCGGCAGGAGCCUACGAACCAGGUCAGGUCCGGAAGGAAGCAGCCUUAAGUGGUCACUUCUGGGUGCCGCAGGGUUGCCUGGCACAAGCUAUCCGGUUGCCGUCGCCUUGAGCAAUGUAUUU